UGGCUGUGAACUAGCGGUGAGUUUUGGAAGUAGGGAAGGGGAGGAAGGCAUGGGGGAGGACACAGUGGUUGCGUCGUUUCAAAUUGGAGUAGGAGGAGGAUAGGGAGGAAGUUUCAAAUUGGAGUAGGAGGAGGAUAGGGAGGAAGACGAGGGAGGAUUUGAGGGGGUUUGAACUAGUGAGGUGAAACUGAAGGAGAAGCCGAGAAGGAAGGGGAAAAAAAGAAAAAAAAAAAUGGGUUGGCCACGAGCUGACCCGGUCCUAACUCAGUUCAGUCCAUGGGCUACGAGGGUCGGGCCAAAAAGCC
rnacentral:lncRNA from 1 species